AGAACUAACCAAUUAGUUAGUUAGUCUCCCAUCCUUAUAUGCUUUUUUAACUUUUUGUUUCUUUCCAAUAUGCGACUCUUGAGACAUUUGAAAGGUGAAAAAUGAAUAAAAAGAAUGGUAAACUGCUUAAAGAAACAUAUUAAUUUUUCUUUUUUUAAAAUAUGACUGUUAGAGCCUUACUUAUUGAUAUCAUCAGACGAG
rnacentral:misc_RNA from 1 species